ACACCGGUCUUGUAAAUCGAAAACUGAAGAUGUAAAACNCUUCCUAAAGAUUAAAACCUUCUCUGAGUU
rnacentral:tRNA from 1 species